CAGCCGCCGCGGGAAUACGUAGGGUGCGAGCGUUAAUCGGAAUUACUGGGCUUAAAGCGCGUGUAGGCGGGCCGCCACGUCGGUUGCUGAAAUCCCCCGGCUCAACCGGGGAAGUGGCAUCGAUACGAGCGGCCUUGAGGGGGGUAGGGGGAUCUGGAACUCCCGGUGAAGCGGUGAAAUGCGUUGAGAUCGGAAGGAACGCCCGUGGCGAAAGCGAGGUCCUGGACCCUUUCUGACGCUGAGACGCGAAAGCCAGGGGGGCGAACGGGAUUAGAUACCCCCGUAGUCCCUGUCUCUUAUA
rnacentral:rRNA from 1 species